GACGAACGCUGGCGGCGUGCUUAACACAUGCAAGUCGAACGGAAAGGCCCUGCUUUUGUGGUACUCGGGUGAGGAACGGACGGGUGACUCGCGCGUGGUCUGUCCUGCUCUUCGGGAUAAGCCUCGGUAACAGGGUCUAAUACAGACUACGUGACAUCUUUAGUCUGAUGGUUGGAGAGUUUAUUCGGUGUAGGAUGCGCUCGCGGCCUAUCAGCUGGUUGGUGGGGUAGUUGCUUACCAAGGCGGCGACGGGUAGCCGGCCUGAGAGGGUGGACGGGCACAUUGGGACUGAGAAACGGCCCAGACUCAUACGGGGGGCAGCAGGGGGGAAUAUUGCGCGAUGGGCGGAAGCCUGAUGGAGCGACGCCGGGUGGGGGAUGACGGCCGUCGGGUUGUAAACUCCGUUCGCUAGGGACGAAGCUUUAGUGACGGUAACUAGAUAAGAAGCACCGGCUAACUACGUG
rnacentral:rRNA from 1 species